GAGACGGGAUACCGUAGAAUAGCGGAUAUACCGGAUACGUAUCAUUUUAGAGGUGGCGAGGAAAGGGUACGGCCCGCUUAAGAGUGGCCCGCGGCCCAUUAUGUUGUUGGUGCGGUAACGGCGCACCAAGGUUCUGAUGGGUAUCCGGCNUAAGAGGGUGAAGGGAUACAUUGGGANUGAGAUACGGCCCAGANCCUACGGGAGGCAGCAGCUAAGAAUAUUCCGCAAUGGGCGAAAGCCUGACGGAGCGACGCCGCGUGGGUGAGGAAGGCCGAAAGGUUGUAAAGCCCUUUUGAACCUGAAGAAUAAGUACGGGAGGGAAUGCCCGUAUGGUGACGGUAGGGUUUGAAUAAGCAACGGCUAAUU
rnacentral:rRNA from 1 species